rnacentral:piRNA from 1 species
UGACACUGGCCACUGGCCACCAGCCAC